rnacentral:tRNA from 1 species
GGGGAUUUAGUUCAGCGGUAGAGCGCUUGCCUAGCAAGCACAAGGCCCUGGGUUCAAUCCCCAGCUCCG